GCCAGGUGUGGUGGUGCAUACCUGUAAUCCCAGCUACUCAGGAGGCUAAGGCAUGAGGAUCCUGAGUUUGAGGCCAGCCUGGGCAACUUAGUAAGACUGUCUUAG
rnacentral:sRNA from 1 species